AACGAACGCUGGCGGCAUGCCUAACACAUGCAAGUCGAACGAGACCUUCGGGUCUAGUGGCGCACGGGUGCGUAACGCGUGGGAACCUGCCCUUAGGUUCGGAAUAACUCCGCGAAAGGGGUGCUAUACCGGAUAAUGUCUUCGGACCAAAGAUUUAUCGCCUUUGGAUGGGCCCGCGUUGGAUUAGCUAGUUGGUAGGGUAAAAGCCUACCAAGGCGACGAUCCAUAGCUGGUCUGAGAGGAUGAUCAGCCACACUGGGACUGAGACACGGCCCAGACUCCUACGGGAGGCAGCAGUGGGGAAUAUUGGACAAUGGGCGAAAGCCUGAUCCAGCAAUGCCGCGUGAGUGAUGAAGGCCUUAGGGUUGUAAAGCUCUUUUACCCGGGAUGAUAAUGACAGUACCGGGAGAAUAAGCUCCGGCUAACUCCGUG
rnacentral:rRNA from 1 species